AAUUUUUUUGGUUUCGUCGCGGCUGCGUUUCCUCCUCUCCUCCGUAUACUCGGAAAAAAAAUCAGUGCAGCUGGGCUGCAAACUCCCUCUGCCUGCUCUCGAUGGAUGUCAGGUGGAUUACAAAAUCAUCCAAUCGAUGCACACCGCAGCUCGCUUGUUCCCCCCUGUAUAUGUGAACUUUCACGGCUGACGGCUGGGCUUCUUCUUUCUUUUUCCUCGGCUCAGCUUCUUCUUUUUUCUGCAAGCUGCAAGUUCUUUCGCCCCCAAUCCCCUACCCUAUCUUGCCUCUCGUCUGAUGCUGCAGUCAAGGCCUCUGUUCCACUCUAGUGAGAGGCGCCACCGGUGGCGAAGACGACAUGGAGCUCGCCGGGUAUGCGAGAGUGAGCACAGGCGUUUUCCCCUCCUCCUCUCUCCUGGGUUUCUGGUAGUGGGAAACAAUUGGGUCAACGAGAUCGAGCAGGAGGUAGUGUCAGAACCAGGAAAUUGAAAUGCAGUGAAUUGCAUAUUUAAGCCGGGUAAGAUUCACAAAUCAUAAUAUUUCACCCCAAUGAAAUGUAAUGUUUGGAUUGCACUGUGAUUGAACAUAUUUAGGGAAAAUUCUAGUGUAAGGGGUCACAGUUGUUCUCUGAUCUAUCUCAAGAAUUAAAAAUGAGGCUUCUUUAUAUAUAAAUUGCUUUUCACCAUGUGGUUCUAAUUAAUUGUUGUAUUUUUUAUUUCUUCCUAUACUCUACAGAAAUCACACGAAGAGAAUACAAGACUAGAAGGCAGAAAGCUGGUGCUGAAUAAGUCACAAAUGACAUCCUGAACACAAGGUAUGGCUGGAAGGAGCAGAUUUCAGAGAAGGCAAUGAGAGUGGAGCAGUAUGGAAGCAGACAUGGGAGUGAUCUGAAGCUUGUGCCUAGUUGUUUGUUGCUGCCUCUUGUAGUUGCUAGUUGCUAUAUGUCUGAUCAUGUACCUUUUCUCUGGGCAAGAUGCUGGAAUGUUGGUUUCUGCCAUAAACAAAAAAAAUGACAUGGUGUCUGUUGGCAUAUAAGUGCAGCCAUUCCGUUUGUCUUUUAAUUCAGCCUUUGUUGUUCAACUAUUGUAACCUUAUGACAGAUUUUUUAAUGGAAAUGAGAGAGGAUUACCUCUCGUUGUUGGAAAA
rnacentral:lncRNA from 1 species